CGGAGGCAUCCACACCAAACACCAGAGGGUGGAUAUGAAUAAAAACAGGAUGGAGAAGAUGCUGUGGAACCAGUGGAUGAACACAGACCAGACAGCUGAUGAAGAUAUGCCUGCUGAAUGAGAGAAAAGUGUAAUAAAAGGAGGUGUCUGUGGGGAUGAUUACAGCAGACAGUAAUCCUGCAGAUGGAUCAGCAGGUGGUAUUAGGAGAAGUGGGGGUGUAGCACAUGGCCACCUUUGAACAGAAACAAUAUGGAGCAGCAGAUCACGGGGCUUCACCUCCGUCUGCUUCACCCCAUCCGCAGACGUACAGGACGCUGGAACGCUGCAGUGGACGGGACCAAGCUGCGGAGGCGGUACAUGGACAACAAUGACCCUGGUGAAGUCUCCCGUCAGAAUGGUCAUUACUGGCCUGAAGAUGUUUGCAAGAGACUUGCACGUUCUGUUCCUUCUGCCUAGACUUCAUAUUUGUAAAUGAACAUUUGUCAUUUUGACUUGCCAGCUCAGCAACAGCUUCAGCAGUGUUUCAGUCAUUUUAUCCAGCAUUCAGAAGUUGUUUCUGUAGUGACUACAAGUACAUGCUAUGCUUCUGUUGUUAUGUUAAAUAUUUUUUUAACAUGUGGUUGUGAGCAGGCAUGACUAAAGAUGAGGCGUUCAGGGCUAACCCUGCAGUGUUUGUGUUACAGCACUGGAGUCCUAAUCAUCUGAUGUUACUAAAUAUCCUUUAUAAGGAGCUAACCCCUCGUUUGUUAGAGAUCAUCAGAGUGGUUUCACCUAGACGUGCAACAAUCUGCUGUGUCCUUCAUAAUCUAGCAUUUCUUUUUUUAUUUUAUAAAUGAAAAUAAAUGUAAGGAAAACAAAUUUGUAAAAAAUUUUUUAGUUCCUUUUGCAACCAGAAAUAAAACUGAAAACAUUUCCUC